CUGUCAGUACAAUACUGAUGGGCAUCGAUGUGAGCACUACAAAGUGGGUAACUACGGCAAUGCUGCCCAGAGGACCUGUCGUGGGUGUCUUAUCCCUGAAGCUCUAUCUCUUAAUGCAUAUAGAAGAUCUCCUUCAUCACCUGAGGGAGGCGAAAUCUAGUAUAACCAACAUAAAUGUGGCAGUGGAGGAGGUGGCCAGGAUGAUGAAGGAGGUGCAGCGCAUGGUGCAGGAGAUGAGAGAACUUGGCUGCAGUAACCAGACAAGGAGGCUUCCAGGGAGCAAAAGGAGGCUCACAAACGUGAGAUCUGGGCAUUUUGGAUUAGACUAAAGUCACUUACAGUACAGGGCAGCACUUUAUUUAGCAUUCUUUUGAAUGAGACAUUCCAUACAUCAAUGUGACACAAGUUCUUGAUAGAUAUGACUCAAGGUGCAAAGGGUAAUACACGUGUCCCUCUCAGUAUUGGACUUCAUCAGGAACAAUAUGACAAUCCAUUGGAUGACAACCUGGCUGUAGCCAAUGAGGCGGCAGAGUCCCUGAUGACGUGGGGCUCUGCGUUGAUGAAUCUGGCAGAGGCUGUGGCACAAGCAGAGGAUAUGGUAAACAGGACAUGGAGCCUCAACUCCAGCAGUACUGACUUCCUAAGAGACCUGAUGGUAAUGUCAAAUACUGAAGAAUAACAUCUAUGAAAUGUUGUAGAUACAACACAAAAAAUGUCCCUCCUUUUUCCAAAUAAUUUACUAGCAAUUAAAAGAUGAGCUGGAGAGGAAACGUGAUUCAAUCCAAUCAAUAUGUCCAAAGAUAAACUGAGGAAUAUCACAAACCUUUUGGAAAUUAUGAAGGAGCACAACAAGGUAUGAAGCAGAUGAAUUCAAAUUGUUUCCAGUGGAUAUUAUUAUUUAUCUCGUAAUGAAGGAGGCAUUAAAAAUGUCAUUUAAAUCUUUCAGGAAUACGAGCACCUUGCAGCCAAGAUAGAUCAAAUCAAAUGUAUUUAUAAAGCCCUUCUUACAUCAUCACAGUGCUGUACAGAAACUCAGCCUAAAACCCCAAACAGCAAGCAACGCAGGUGUAGAAGCACAGUGGCUAGGAAAAACUCCCUAGAAAAGCCAGAACCUAGGAAGAAACCUAGAGAGGAACCAGGCUAUGAGGGGUGGCCAGUCCUCUUCUGGCUGUGCCGGGUGGAGAUUAUAACAGAACAUGGCCAAGAUGUUCAAAUGUUUAUAGAUGACCAGCUGGGUCAAAUAAUAAUAAUCACAGUGGAUUUCGAGGGUGCAACAGGUCAGCACCUCAGGAGUAAAUGUCAGUUGGCUUUUCAUAGCCGAUCAUGCAGAGUAUCUCUACCGCUCCUGCUGUCUCUAGAGAGUUGAAAACAGCAGGUCUGGGACAGGUAGCACGUUCGGUGAACAGGUCAGGAUUCCAUAGCCACAGGCAGAACAGUUGAAACUGGAGCAUUAGCACAGCCAGGUGGACUGGGGACCAUGCCUCAGGCCAGGUAGUCCUGAGGCAUGGUCCUAGGGCUCAGGUCCUCUGAGAGAGAAAGAAAGAAAGAAAGAAAGAAAGAAAGAGAGAGAGAGAGAGAGAAUUAGAGAGAGCAUACUUAAAUUCACACAGGACACCGGAUAAGACAGGAGAAAUACUCCAGAUAUAACAGACUGACCCUAGCCCCCCCGACACAUAAACUACUGCAGCAUAAAUACUGGAGGCGGAGACAGGAGGGGUUGGGAGACACUGUGGCCCCAUCCAACAAUACCCCCAAACAGGGCCAAACAGGCAGGAUAUAACCCCACCCACUUUGCCAAAGCACAGCCCCCACACCACUAGAGGGAUACCUUCAACCACCAACUUACCAUCCUGAGACAAGGCUGAGUGUAGCCCACAAAUAUCUCCGCCACGGCACAACCCAAGGGGGGGGCGCCAACCCAGACAGGAAGAUCACGUCAGUGACUCAGCCCCUGUAAUAGGGUUAGAGGGAGCCAAGCCCAAUCUCACUGAGACACUGAAUGAUAUCGCUAAAGCAAAGCAAGAGGGCAUCGUUGUCAUGGCAGAGGAGCAUGACGAGGAGCUAAACAGACUGGCAAUGGAACUACAAAUGUAGGUAGACAAAGAGGGGGUUAGGUUGUUCUUAGGUGGGGGCCUACUUCUUCAUACCCCACAGAUGUUUCCUAUGUCGGGACCUUUGUGUGGACUGUAUGGACUGUCACGCCCUGAUCUGUUUCACCUGUCACCUGGGAUUGUCUCCACCCCCUCCAGGUGUCGCUUAUUUUCCCCAGUGUAUUUAUCCCUGUGUUUUCUGUCUCUCUAUGCCAGUUCGUCUUGUAUGUUUAGUCAAGUCAACCAGUGUGUUUUUCCCUGUACUCCUUUUCUAUUCUCUUUUGAUAGUCCUCCCGGUUUUGACCACUGCCUUACUCUGGACUACUUUCCCGCCUGCCUGAUCAUCCUGCCUGCCAAGACCUUGAAUCUGCCUGCCCUUCGGUACCUAUUGGACUCUGAACUGGUUUUGACCUUUUUCCUGUACACAAACAUUCUCUUGCCUACCCCUUUUGGGAUUAAUAAACAUUGUACGAAUCCAACCAUCUGCCUCCUUUGUCUGCAUCUGAAUCUCGCCUUGUGCUUUGAUAAUUGUGAGCGUUGUAUUCCGUUGUAUUCCGCGUUGUAUUCCAGCGUUGGACCACUGUGAGCGUUGUAUUCCUUGUUAUUGCAGGGCAGUACACAAUGCCACCA
ensembl:lncRNA